CCACUCGUAGAAGCUGAGGUGGCGCUCGGAGUCCCGGGGCUGCGCCGCGGCGCUGGAGCAGCGCGGGGCCCCGCUCCGCUUCCGCAUGGCCGCGUCCUCGGGUCGCCGCGUGAUGACGUCACUCCGCGGGGAGCGGGGACGGCGCGUCGCUCGAGCAACGGCCGCGCCGGGGCGCUGUCGCUAUGGAGACGCUGCCGCGCAUGCGCUGUCGCCGCGGGGACGGCUUCCCGCGCCUCAAGGAGGGAGGGCGCGCUGUCGCCGUGGCAGCGCGGCCUGCACGCACGGCCUGAAGCCCGAUAGAUUUUCAAUGUUCUGAACAAUGUGGGUGUGGAGAGCGUGAUUGAGACCUGGCUGGCUGAGAAAGGCCACACAGACAGUAUUCGGCUAAUGAGACGAGAGUCCUUGAGCAAUGUAACAGGAUGUAAACAAGGCUAACGAGGAGAGAGUCCUUGAGCAAACUAACAGGAUGUGUAGGAAGGUAGGAGAAUAUAGAAAUAAGAAAGAUGAAUGGCAUGGUCUAAUCACAAAAAGUACAAAGAAGGGCUGGGGCGACAAGUAGCUGAAGCGCCUAUCAGGAGCUCGGGCUUUGCAAUGUGUAUGAGCUUCAUUAGCGCCAACAUAAAUGCACGCAACCUUCUGAUUAAAGUUGAGACUUUCUGAUCAA